GUGGGGAAUCUUGCGCAAUGGGCGAAAGCCUGACGCAGCCAUGCCGCGUGGAUGAUGAAGGUCUUAGGAUUGUAAAAUCCUUUCACCGGUGAAGAUAAUGACUGUAGCCGGAGAAGAAGCCCCGGCUAACUUCGUGCCAGCAGCCGCGGUAAUACGAAGGGGGCUAGCGUUGCUCGGAUUUACUGGGCGUAAAGGGCGCGUAGGCGGACAUUUAAGUCAGGGGUGAAAUCCCGGGGCUCAACCUCGGAACUGCCUUUGAUACUGGGUGUCUUGAGUAUGAGAGAGGUGUGUGGAACUCCGAGUGUAGAGGUGAAAUUCGUAGAUAUUCGGAGGAACACCAGUGGCGAAGGCGGCUCACUGGUCCAUUACUGACGCUGAGGUGCGAAAGCGUGGGGAGCAAACAGGAUUAGAUACCCGGGUAGUCC
rnacentral:rRNA from 1 species